UCCUCGAUAGCUCAGUCGGUAGAGCGCGCGGCUGUUAACCGCGUUGUCGUAGGUUCGAGUCCUACUCGGGGAG
rfam:Anaerostipes sp. 992a contig000001, whole genome shotgun sequence.